rnacentral:rRNA from 1 species
ACGGGGGGUGCUAGCGUUAUUCGGAAUCACUGGGCGUAAAGGGCGCGUAGGCGGUCUCCUAAGUCAGAUGUGAAAGCCCUCGGCUUAACCGAGGAAGUGCAUUUGAUACUAGGUGACUUGAGUAUGGGUGAGGGAGGCGGAAUUCCUGGUGUAGCGGUGAAAUGCGUAGAGAUCAGGAGGAACACCGGUGGCGAAGGCGGCUUACGAUGCCAAUAUUGACGCUGAGGCGCGAAGGUGUGGGGAGCAAACAG